UGGGGAAUUUUGGACAAUGGGCGAAAGCCUGAUCCAGCAAUGCCGCGUGCAGGACGAAGGCCUUCGGGUUGUAAACUGCUUUUGUACGGAACGAAAAGAUUCUUACUAAUACUAGGGAUUGAUGACGGUACCGUAAGAAUAAGCACCGGCUAACUACGUGCCAGCAGCCGCGGUAAUACGUAGGGUGCAAGCGUUAAUCGGAAUUACUGGGCGUAAAGCGUGCGCAGGCGGUUUUGUAAGACAGUUGUGAAAUCCCCGGGCUCAACCUGGGAACUGCAUCUGUGACUGCAAAGCUUGAGUGCGGCAGAGGGGGAUGGAAUUCCGCGUGUAGCAGUGAAAUGCGUAGAUAUGCGGAGGAACACCGAUGGCGAAGGCAAUCCCCUGGGCCUGCACUGACGCUCAUGCACGAAAGCGUGGGGAGCAAACAGG
rnacentral:rRNA from 1 species